UCUGACUCCCCUGAGCCAUCUAGAUCCAGAGGGACAAGUUCUGAUUCUCUUUUUUGUUCAGCAAUGUUCCCAAAGGAUAUUUAUGAAGUAACUAAGGGAGAAACAAAUAUAAGAAAAACAGAAAAGCAUGGGAAUAACUGGAGAUGAAGAAACAAUUAUGGAAAGGUCAACAAUUUUCCAGAUGUGGAUUGAAGACCCUAUAACAUCUCUGACACUCUUUAAAGAGGAACACAAUGUGAGAUGGAAGAAAAGGAUUCCAGUAGCACACUUGAGGAACUCAGUCAGCAUGGGAAGGUCCAUUCCAAGUACUUUUAACAACACCUACAGCAAUCAGGAUAGUAGAAAAAGCAUCAUGGAUCCAUUGUUCAUAUGGGAAAAGAGUACCUUCUGUCAAAAUUAACAAUGAAGAAUGAGACUAUAAUGGACCACUACAACUCAACAACUGGACACUAUUUUCAAGGACUCUUGACUACUAGAACUGAAUAACUGAACACUUUUCAGGGAUA
rnacentral:lncRNA from 1 species